rnacentral:rRNA from 1 species
UACGUAGGGUGCAAGCGUUAAUCGGAAUUACUGGGCGUAAAGGGUGCGUAGGCGGUUGUUUAAGUCUGUCGUGAAAUCCCCGGGCUCAACCUGGGAAUGGCGAUGGAAACUGGGCAGCUAGAGUGUGUCAGAGGAUGGUGGAAUUCCCGGUGUAGCGGUGAAAUGCGUAGAGAUCGGGAGGAACACCAGUGGCGAAGGCGGCCUUCUGGACCAAUACUGACGCUCAUGCACGAAAGCGUGGGGAGCAAACAGG